rnacentral:misc_RNA from 1 species
UCUCCGUAGGUGAACCUGCGGAGGGAUCAUUACCGUUUGGACGUCCCCGGCUUGCCGGCGGACAGCCCGGGGGGAAAAGACGCGUCGCGGGGUCUUCGGACCCCGGGGCGUGGCCCCGGGUCUUCCACUCUCACCCCUUGUGUUCAUGACCCUGUUGCUUCGGGGGCCACCCCGCUCGUCGGGGGCCCCCGGUGGCACAUCAAAACUCGUGUAUCUUCGCGUCCGAGUCGUAUACCAAUUAUACAAAACUUUCAACAACGGAUCUCUUGGUUCUGGCAUCGAUGAAGAACGCAGC